rnacentral:rRNA from 2 species
GGUCAAGCGAAUAAGCGCACACGGUGGAUGCCUUGGCGGUCAGAGGCGAUGAAGGACGUGGCAGCCUGCGAAAAGUAUCGGGGAGCUGGCAACAAGCUUUGAUCCGGUAAUGUCCGAAUGGGGAAACCCACCCGCUUGCGGGUAUCCUGCAGUGAAUACAUAGCUGCUGGAAGCGAACCUGGUGAACUGAAAUAUCUAAGUAACCAGAGGAAAAGAAAUCAACCGAGAUUCCGUAAGUAGCGACGAGCGAACGCGGACUAGCCCUUAAGCUGAUUUGGUUCUAGGAAAACGCUCUGGAAAGAGCGGCCAUAGAAGGUGAUAGCCCUGUAUCUGAAAGGGCCAUUUCAGUGAAGACGAGUAGGGCGGGGCACGUGAAACCCUGUCUGAACAUGGGGGGACCAUCCUCCAAGGCUAAAUACUACUGACCGACCGAUAGUGAACCAGUACCGUGAGGGAAAGGCGAAAAGAACCCCGGAGAGGGGAGUGAAAUAGAACCUGAAACCGUGUGCGUACAAGCAGUAGGAGCUCCGCAAGGAGUGACUGCGUACCUUUUGUAUAAUGGGUCAGCGACUUACUGUUCGUGGCAAGCUUAACCGUAUAGGGGAGGCGAAGGGAAACCGAGUCUGAUAAGGGCGCAUAGUCGCGGGCAGUAGACCCGAAACCGGGUGAUCUAGUCAUGCCCAGGGUGAAGGUGCGGUAACACGCACUGGAGGCCCGAACCCACUCCCGUUGCAAAGGUAGGGGAUGAGGUGUGAUUAGGAGUGAAAAGCUAAUCGAACCCGGAGAUAGCUGGUUCUCCUCGAAAGCUAUUUAGGUAGCGCCUCAUAUGUAUCCUCUCGGGGGUAGAGCACUGUUAUGGCUAGGGGGUCAUCGCGACUUACCAAACCAUUGCAAACUCCGAAUACCGAGACGGACUGUAUGGGAGACACACGGCGGGUGCUAACGUCCGUCGUGAAAAGGGAAACAACCCAGACCCACAGCUAAGGUCCCAAAUUUUGUGCUAAGUGGAAAACCAUGUGGAAAGGCACAGACAGCCAGGAGGUUGGCUUAGAAGCAGCCACCCUUUAAAGAAAGCGUAAUAGCUCACUGGUCGAGUCGGUCUGCGGGGAAGAUUUAACGGGGCUAAGCACAGAACCGAAGCUUGGGGUGCAUACUUUGUAUGCGCGGUAGAGGAGCGUUCCGUAAGCCGUUGAAGGUGGAUUGAGAAGUCUGCUGGAGGUAUCGGAAGUGCGAAUGCUGACAUGAGUAACGAUAAUGCGGGUGAAAAACCCGCACGCCGAAAGCCCAAGGUUUCCUUGCGCAACGUUAAUCGGCGCAGGGUGAGUCGGCCCCUAAGGCGAGGACGAAAGUCGUAGUCGAUGGGAAGCAGGUUAAUAUUCCUGCACCUCGCGUAAGUGCGAUGGAGGGACGGAGAAGGUUAGGUGUACCAGGCGUUGGUUGUCCUGGGGAAAGGCGGUAGGUUUGGAUCUUUGGCAAAUCCGGGAUCCUCUAAGACCGAGCACCGAGACGAGCCUUUAUGGCGAAGUCACUGAUACCACGCUUCCAGGAAAAGCUCCUAAGCUUCAGCUUACGCAGACCGUACCGUAAACCGACACAGGUGGGUAGGAUGAGAAUUCUCAGGCGCUUGAGAGAACUCGGGUGAAGGAACUAGGCAACAUGGCACCGUAACUUCGGGAGAAGGUGCACCCUUUUUGGUGGCUCGUGCGAGCUAUAGCUGAAGAGGGUCGCAGUAACCAGGCCGCUGCGACUGUUUAUCAAAAACACAGCACUCUGCAAACACGAAAGUGGACGUAUAGGGUGUGACGCCUGCCCGGUGCUGGAAGGUUAAUUGAUGGGGUCAGCCGCAAGGCGAAGCUCUUGAUCGAAGCCCCAGUAAACGGCGGCCGUAACUAUAACGGUCCUAAGGUAGCGAAAUUCCUUGUCGGGUAAGUUCCGACCUGCACGAAUGGCGUAACGACAGCGGCGCUGUCUCCACCCGAGACUCAGUGAAAUUGAAAUCGCUGUGAAGAUGCAGCGUUCCCGUGGCAAGACGGAAAGACCCCGUGAACCUUUACUAUAGCUUUACACUGAACGUUGAGUUCGUCUGUGUAGGAUAGGUGGGAGGCUAUGAAACCAUGGCGCUAGCUGUGGCGGAGCCAUCCUUGAAAUACCACCCUGUCGUGCUUGACGUUCUAACCUGGGCCCAUUAUCUGGGUCGGGGACCGUGUAUGGUGGGUAGUUUGACUGGGGCGGUCUCCUCCUAAAGAGUAACGGAGGAGCUCGAAGGUACGCUCAGCGCGGUCGGACAUCGCGCACUGUGUGCAAAGGCAUAAGCGUGCUUGACUGCAAGAUCGACGGAUCAAGCAGGUAGGAAACUAGGACUUAGUGAUCCGGUGGUUCUGUAUGGAAGGGCCAUCGCUCAACGGAUAAAAGGUACUCCGGGGAUAACAGGCUGAUACCGCCCAAGAGUUCAUAUCGACGGCGGUGUUUGGCACCUCGAUGUCGGCUCAUCACAUCCUGGGGCUGUAGUCGGUCCCAAGGGUAUGGCUGUUCGCCAUUUAAAGUGGUACGCGAGCUGGGUUCAGAACGUCGUGAGACAGUUCGGUCCCUAUCUGCCAUGGGCGUUGGAGAUUUGAGAGGGGCUGCUCCUAGUACGAGAGGACCGGAGUGGACGAACCUCUGGUGUUCCGGUUGUCACGCCAGUGGCAUUGCCGGGUAGCUAUGUUCGGAAGCGAUAACCGCUGAAAGCAUCUAAGCGGGAAGCGCGCCUCAAGAUGAGAUCUCCCGGGGCACAAGCCCCCUGAAGGAACCAUGUAGACUACGUGGUUGAUAGGUCAGGUGUGUAAGUACAGCAAUGUAUUGAGCUAACUGAUACUAAUGAUCCGUGCGGCUUGACCAU